UACGGAGGAUGCGAGCGUUAUCCGGAUUUAUUGGGUUUAAAGGGUGCGUAGGCGGCUUUUUAAGUCAGCGGUGAAAUUUUGCAGCUUAACUGUAACAGUGCCGUUGAUACUGGGGAGCUAGGAUUUGGUUGCUGUGGGUGGAAUGUGUGGUGUAUCGGUGAAAUGCUUAGAGAUUACACAGAAUAUCGAUUGCGAAGGCAGCUCACAAAGCCAAGAUUGACGCUGAGGCACGAAAGUGUGGGGAUCAAACAGGAUUAGA
rnacentral:rRNA from 1 species